GAUGAAGAACGCAGCGAAAUGCGAUAAGUAAUGUGAAUUACAGAAUUCAGUGAAUCAUCGAAUCUUUGAACGCACAUUGCGCCCCUUGGUAUUCCGAGGGGCAUGCCUGUUCGAGCGUCAUUAUAACCCUCAAGCUCAGCUUGGUGUUGGGGCCUGCUGCACUGGCAGCCCUUAAAAUCAGUGGCGGCGCCAUCUGGCUCUAAGCGUAGUAAUUCUUCUCGCUAUGGAGUCCUGGUGGAUGCUUGCCAUCAACCCCCAAUUUUUCUAUGGUUGACCUCGGAUCAGGUAGGGAUACCCGCUGAACUUAAGCAUAUCAAUAAGCGGAGGA
rnacentral:misc_RNA from 1 species